UGCUCUGAUGAUAACUAGGAUUAGGAAGUGCCGUCCGAGGCGAUAACUGACGAGCUCCCUUAGCUGACU